rnacentral:rRNA from 1 species
AGCGAACGUUAGCGGCGGGCCUAACACAUGCAAGUCGAACGCGAAAGGUCUUCGGACUGAGUAGAGUGGCGCACGGGUGAGUAACACGUAGGUAAUCUACCCUUUGGCGGGGGAUAACGUUCCGAAAGGAGCGCUAAUACCGCAUAAGACCACGGAGUCUCCGGACGCUGUGGGAAAAGGUGGCCUCUUCUUGAAAGCUACCACCGAAGGAUGAGCCUGCGUCCCAUCAGCUAGUUGGUAGGGUAAAGGCCUACCAAGGCCACGAUCGGUAGCUGGUCUGAGAGGAUGAUCAGCCACACUGGGACUGAGACACGGCCCAGACUCCUACGGGAGGCAGCAGUGGGGAAUAUUGGACAAUGGGCGCAAGCCUGAUCCAGCAAUGCCGCGUGUGUGAAGAAGGCCUGCGGGUUGUAAAGCACUUUCAGUGGGGAAGAACAGAUUCGGGUCAAUACCCCGGAGCCCUGACGUUACCCACAGAAGAAGCACCGGCUAACUCCGUGCCAG